rnacentral:rRNA from 1 species
GAUGAACGCUGGCGGCGUGCCUAACACAUGCAAGUCGAGCGAUUCUCUUCGGAGAAGAGCGGCGGACGGGUGAGUAACGCGUGGGUAACCUGCCCUGUACACACGGAUAGCAUACCGAAAGGUAUGCUAAUACGAGAUAAUAUACUUUUAUCGCAUGGUAGAAGUAUCAAAGCUUUUGCGGUACAGGAUGGACCCGCGUCUGAUUAGCUAGUUGGUAAGGUAACGGCUUACCAAGGCGACGAUCAGUAGCCGACCUGAGAGGGUGAUCGGCCACAUUGGAACUGAGACACGGUCCAAACUCCUACGGGAGGCAGCAGUGGGGAAUAUUGCACAAUGGGCGAAAGCCUGAUGCAGCAACGCCGCGUGAGCGAUGAAGGCCUUCGGGUCGUAAAGCUCUGUCCUCAAGGAAGAUAAUGACGGUACUUGAGGAGGAAGCCCCGGCUAACUACGUGCCAGCAGCCGCCGUAA